UCAUGACCUUGUGGUAAGUGCCCUCGAAUCACUAUCUGAGGGUCGCAGGUUCGAACAUGUGUCCUAGGGGUGUUAUGAAUUUAACGGUCAAUCCAACUAUUCCUUGGUAAAAGAGUAGCCCAACAGUUUUAGCACUGAAGUCAACACCCAAAUUAGAUAGUGAUCAGGGUUGGAGUACGUGAACGUUGCUUCCGCUUUAAAUCACUAAUGGUCGGUACGAUAAUAACUCAGCUUCACUUAUAUAUAUGUGAGGAUCUACAAUUUCAGUUUCAUUCUUCAAAAAACGUCUUGCGUGUUCUGAACAGAAUUAUUAUUGAUUAAGGCAAGUUUUUACUUGGCUACAACUAUUCUUCAAUAAAUGGUCAAAGGUAUAAACCUCAGCUUCCUUUGCCUUCUGGGAUGUGUACUUCUGGCUUCCAUCUCCCCCUGUCUCGGUCGAAUUGUCCGCCGAAGUAACAUCCAGUGUCAGUCUUGGAAGAGCAGUGAGAUACGAUGUGGUAAGGAUGACUGGCCAUCGAAUCGAAUUAAGAUCAUAAACAAGUCCUCUGCUAGUGUCACAUUUGUUGUUGACCAGUGGAUAAGCUCGUGCGGUUGGCCAGGAUCGAAGUAUUCUUCUAGGCAGUACACAUUGAACUCUUAUCAAAAUAUCGAACUACAAUUUGCACAUGCACUGCCUGGUAAAUGUCGAGAAAUGUUUAUUAUUGACUGUCGUCAACAUGGAAGUUAUAUUAACUGUCUUCAUGUUUUGAAAGCUUAUCCUGUUGGCUAACUUUACUGUAAAGUAACAAUUGUCAGAAGUUAUUUGCUCCGCACUACAGUAAAGCAUUAUCAAAUAUUGUUCUCCAAUUUUGUAUUAAUUGUUAAUAUUGUUAUAUUGCUUUAUAACUAUAUAUUAUUGCUUCAUUCUAUUAAGUGCUUGUAUAAUGAUGUCAGUUUAUUGGAUAAUUUUAUAAUUAUGUUCUUGUGUUGGAUUAUUCAGUCAACUUUGAUUUUGAUUUCAUUUAAUAAGAGUGUAAAACACUAGAAAUAAACGACUUUAUAACACCAAAA